rnacentral:lncRNA from 1 species
CAAAACAACAAAGUAUCCACAAAAUUUAAUAGGAAAAAAACUUAAAUAUGAAUAUUUUUCUUUGAAGAAAUAAUAUAACCAAAAAAAAUUGAUGUUAUAAAUAAAUUUAAAAAAAUAGAGCUCAAAAUACCUAUCUUUCAUAUGGCAACUCCUUUGUCUAUCAUGUGUUGGAACAAGUGACUAUAAUUAUCUCUUCUUUUUCUUUCGUUUGUUCAAGGAAUUUAAGAAUGGUACAAGUUCUCUUUUCUUUUAUUUCUAUUCCCAGGUAUUGGACUUAAGGAAUUGUAGAGAAAGGCAUGUAAUCUCCUUCAAUUUGAGCAGAUCUCUUAUCUAAAAAUUAAAAUACCCCAAGUAUGAUGCUUCCAAAUGUUGUAACUUUAUAGAUAAGUCAAAUUCUCAAGAAGACACAUUCCCAAAGGAGUCAAUAUGAGACCAACUUGAGACCAGAGCUCUAGGUUGUGCCAUAACACUGAACUCAGGUGUCCGAAUAGACGACUGAUGGAGUAAUUGCAAAAAAGGAUGAAUUGCACAAAACUGAAACAUCAAGAGCCCAUGUCCUUCUCCAACCAAGGCUAAAGCUUAAACAAGAACUCCAUCACCACGUGCUUUAGAAUAAGAGCAAAAUUGUGUAAAGUUGAAGUUACAAAACAUAAAUCCCCUCAAGAUCAAUCGUUGGAAGUUAUUAGCCUAUCAUAAAAAAGAUCGGUUGGAAGUGAUCAAUUAUCUUAAAGUCAGGGAUGAUGGAAAUCAAUUGGAAGUUAGAAACACCAAAAUCAGCAUACAGCAUAUACUUUUAGUUUUGGUGGAGGACAGAGACAAACUUGAUUUUAGCUAUAGCUUCGAAUAUCAAAGAAGACUCGCAUACCACAUCAAUAAUAAGCCAACAAAGCCAGAACCAGAUAAGCAUCCCCCUGAGUUUAUAUUUUAUUUUUAGUAAAUGCAUCAACCAUCAAUAGUUCC